UACGAAGGGGGCUAGCGUUGCUCGGAAUCACUGGGCGUAAAGGGCGCGUAGGCGGCCAUGUAAGUCGGGGGUGAAAUCCUGGGGCUCAACCCUAGAAUGGCCUUCGAUACUGUGUGGCUUGAGUCUGGUAGAGGUUGGUGGAACUGCGAGUGUAGAGGUGAAAUUCGUAGAUAUUCGCAAGAACACCGGUGGCGAAGGCGGCCAACUGGACCAGAACUGACGCUGAGGCGCGAAAGCGUGGGGAGCAAACAGG
rnacentral:rRNA from 1 species